CUUUUCUGUUUCCAGCAGGACACACCUGGCAAUGGAUGUGACAUUCAGCACUGCCCAGGUUUCUUCCACUUGGAGGAGGCAAAGUGGUGAAUGGAAGGAGGCAAUCCUCUGGCAGUGGGAUGCUAGGGAGCGAUAAUAACGCAAGUUAGCUUGCUUGAAGGCUGUUGGUAUCCGUGGUUGGAAGCUGGUGGACGUCUCAUGAUGGACCUAAGAGAAGCUGGCAGAUGUUGGUGGAUGGAAGCCAGUGGCAUUUGAAUUUGGAAGUUGGUGGGGGCUACAAGGCUAAAGCAGACUGAUGUUUGUGGAUGUCGGCUGAUGGAAGUUCACCUUUGGAAGACAGUCAACAGAAGUCAGUGGAUAUUUGUGGAUUGAAGCCAGG